rnacentral:rRNA from 1 species
UGGAUGAGGCAUGCAAGUCACGGGGGUCCCGCAAGGGACAACCGGCGAACGAGGUAGUAAUACGCAGGUACGCACCGAAGAGUCGGGCAUAGCUAGCCGAAAGGUUAGGUAAUUCCCGAUGGCGUGGUGACACUAAAGGAGUAAUCCGCUCUUUGAGCGGCCUGCGAAGCAUCAGCUAGUUGGUAGGGUAACGGCCUACCAAGGCUAUGACGCUUAGGGGAGCUGAGAGGCUGACCCCCACCGGGGACACUGAGACACGGGUCCCACACCUACGGGUGGCAGCAGCCGAGAAUAUUCGACAAUGGGCGAAAGCCUGAUCGAGCGACGCCGCGUGAUGGACGAAGUCCUUCGGGACGUAAACAUC